GAUGAACGCUGGCGGCGUGCCUAAUACAUGCAAGUCGAGCGAACAGACGAGGAGCUUGCUCCUCUGACGUUAGCGGCGGACGGGUGAGUAACACGUGGAUAACCUACCUAUAAGAUUGGGAUAACUUCGGGAAACCGGAGCUAAUACCGGAUAAUAUAUUGAACCGCAUGGUUCAAUAGUGAAAGACGGUUUUGCUGUCACUUAUAGAUGGAUCCGCGCCGCAUUAGCUAGUUGGUAAGGUAACGGCUUACCAAGGCGACGAUGCGUAGCCGACCUGAGAGGGUGAUCGGCCACACUGGAACUGAGACACGGUCCAGACUCCUACGGGAGGCAGCAGUAGGGAAUCUUACGCAAUGGGCGAAAGCCUGACGGAGCAACGCCGCGUGAGUGAUGAAGGUCUUCGGAUCGUAAAACUCUGUUAUUAGGGAAGAACAAAUGUGUAAGUAACUAUGCACGUCUUGACGGUACCUAAUCAGAAAGCCACGGCUAACUACGUG
rnacentral:rRNA from 1 species